rnacentral:rRNA from 1 species
CCUACGGGAGGCAGCAGUGGGGGAUAUUGCACAAUGGGGGGAACCCUGAUGCAGCGACGCCGCGUGGGUGAAGGAGCGUUUCGGCGCGUAAAGCCCUAUCGGCAGGGAAGAAGGAGGACGGUACCUGCCUAAGAAGCCCCGGCUAACUACGUGCCAGCAGCCGCGGUAAUACGUAGGGGGCAAGCGUUAUCCGGAUUUACUGGGUGUAAAGGGGGCGCAGACGGCAGCGCAAGCCAGGAGUGAAAGCCCGGGGCCCAACCCCGGGACUGCUCUUGGAACUGCGCGGCUGGAGUGCAGGAGGGGCAGGCGGAAUUCCUGGUGUAGCGGUGAAAGGCGUAGAUAUCAGGAGGAACACCGGUGGCGAAGGCGGCCUGCUGGACUGCGACUGACGUUGAGGCCCGAAAGCGUGGGGAGCAAACAGGAUUAGAUACCCUUGUAGUC